rnacentral:rRNA from 1 species
AGCGAACGCUGGCGGCAGGCCUAACACAUGCAAGUCGAACGGAUCCUUCGGGAUUAGUGGCGGACGGGUGAGUAACACGUGGGAACGUGCCCUUUGGUUCGGAACAACUCAGGGAAACUUGUGCUAAUACCGAAUGUGCCCUUCGGGGGAAAGAUUUAUCGCCUUUAGAGCGGCCCGCGUCUGAUUAGCUAGUUGGUGAGGUAAAGGCUCACCAAGGCGACGAUCAGUAGCUGGUCUGAGAGGAUGAUCAGCCACAUUGGGACUGAGACACGGCCCAAACUCCUACGGGAGGCAGCAGUGGGGAAUCUUGCGCAAUGGGCGAAAGCCUGACGCAGCCAUGCCGCGUGAAUGAUGAAGGUCUUAGGAUUGUAAAAUUCUUUCACCGGGGACGAUAAUGACGGUACCCGGAGAAGAAGCCCCGGCUAACUUCGUGCCAGCCGCCGCUGUAAUAC